UUGAGCCGUAUGACGUGAAAGUGUCAAGUACGGUUCUUAGGGGAGGAAGGAGCUGUAAAGCUCCUGACUUACCCGAC
rfam:Orenia sp. Z6 2524618303, whole genome shotgun sequence.